rnacentral:rRNA from 1 species
CGGAUGGCGGUGUGCCUAUUGAAGAAUGAGCCGGCGAGUUACGGUACGUGGCGAGGUUAAGGGCUUGGAGGUCUGUAGCCGCAGGGAAACCGAGUCUUAAAGAGGGCGAAAUAGUCUCGUAUCGUAGACCCGAAGCCGUACGAUCUAUCCAUGGGCAGGUUGAAGCCUCGGUGAAACGAGGUGGAGGACCGAACCAAUGCCUGUUGAAAAAGUCUUGGAUGACCUGUGGAUAGGAGUGAAAAGCUAAUCGAGUACGGUGAUAGCUGGUUCUCCCCGAAAUGCAUUGAGGUGCAGCCUCGUAUAUUGGAAAGUGUCGGGGGUAGAGCUACUGGAUGGAUGAGGGGGACUGGGGUUCUACCGAUUUCAACCAAACUCCGAAUACCGGCACUGGAUGUACGGGAGUGAGACUACGGGUGAGAAGGUCCGUGGUCGAGAGGGAAACAGCCCAGACCGACAGCUAAGGUCCCCAAGCCCGCGCUGAGUGUGACAAGGAUGUGGGGGAGCCCAGACAGCCAGGAGGUUGGCUUAGAAGCAGCCACCCUUGAAAGAGUGCGUAACAGCUCACUGGUCGAGCGCCCCUGCGCCGAUAAUGUAGGGGGCUAAGCGCGGCGCCGAAGCUUCGGAAUGAGUGUGCGAAUGCAUGCUGAUUGGUAGGGGAGCGUUCUGUACGGGGUGAAGUCGUGCCGUGAGGCAUGGUGGACUGUACGGAAGAGAGAAUGCCGGCAUAAGUAGCGAGAAACGCGUGAGAAACGCGUUCGCCGAAAGCCCAAGGAUUCCUGGGGAAGGUUAAUCCGCCCAGGGUUAGGCGGGACCUAAGGUGAGGCCGAAGGGCGUAGCCGAUGGACAGCAGGUAGACAUUCCUGCCCCGCCCUGAUGACGUUAUGACCGAAGGGGUGACGCAAGAGGCUAGGUGCUCCGGGUGAUGGAAUACCCGGUACAAGGAUGUAGGGGGACGGACCAGGGAAAUCCGGUCUGUUUUAUAACCCUGAGAUCUGAUGUGGAUUCGCCGUAAUGGCGGAGAAGUCAUUGAGGCCAAAUUGCCUAGAAAAGCCUCUAGGGAGGAAUCGGGGCGCCCGUACCCGAAACCGACACAGGUGGGCUGGCUGAGCAGGCUAAGGCGGACGAGGUAACCCUCACCAAGGAACUCUGCAAGUUGACCCCGUAACUUAGGGAGAAGGGGUGCCGCGGCGGUGAAGUGUUUGACAUACGGAGCCGCGUGCGGUCGCAGAAACCAGGCCCAGGCGACUGUUUACUAAAAACACAGGACUCUGCUGAAGGCGUGAAGCCGACGUAUAGGGUCUGACACCUGCCCGGUGCUGGAAGGUUAAGGGGAGAGGUUAUCCGGCACUCAGCUGAUAUCAUCGGUUGAGUUGCAGGCAAGCAUUCGCUGUAUUUUUCAAGGAUCAUAGUUUGCGAGAUUUGGCGGAUGGUAUCUGCUGAGUGCCGGAGAAGCUUUGAACCGAAGCCCCAGUAAACGGCGGCCGUAACUAUAACGGUCCUAAGGUAGCGAAAUUCCUUGUCAGGUAAGUUCUGACCUGCACGAAUGGUGUAACGA